CGGACGGGUGAGUAACACGUGGAUAACCUACCUAUAAGACUGGGAUAACUUCGGGAAACCGGAGCUAAUACCGGAUAAUAUUUUGAACCGCACGGUUCAAAAGUGAAAGACGGUCUUGCUGUCACUUAUAGAUGGAUCCGCGCUGCAUUAGCUAGUUGGUAAGGUAACGGCUUACCAAGGCAACGAUGCAUAGCCGACCUGAGAGGGUGAUCGGCCACACUGGAACUGAGACACGGUCCAG
rnacentral:rRNA from 1 species